AUGGGAAUCGGUGAUGACGACAAGGAUAAGGACGGUGGGAUUAUCAAGGGUAAUGGGACAGAGUCUGGUCGGAUCAUUACCACCACAGAAGGGUCUGAACGAUCAAAGAGACAAGGUGGUUUCAGUUAUGAUUGUUAUACAAUCUCGUACAGAGCUGAACAUGUGAUUGGCACUGGCUCAUUCGGUGUUGCUAAGUGCUUAGAGACAGAAGAAAAAGUAGCUAUCAAGAAAGUGUUGCAAGACAAGAGAUACAAGAACAGAGAGCUUCAGAUCAUGCGGAUGCUUGAUCAUCCUAAUGUUGUUGACCUCAAGCAUUCUUUCUUCUCCACCACUGAGAAAGAUGAGCUUUAUCUUAACCUUGUUCUUGAGUAUGUACCUGAGACUAUAUACCGUUCUUCAAGAUCUUACACCAAGAUGAAUCAACACAUGCCCUUGAUCUAUAUUCAGCUCUAUACAUAUCAGAUUUGCCGCGCAAUGAACUAUCUACAUAGAGUUGUUGGAGUGGUGUCACCGUGACAUUAAACCUCAGAAUCUAUUGGUCAAUAAUGUUACACAUGAGGUGAAGGUAUGCGAUUUUGGGAGCGCCAAGAUGCUGAUUCCGGGAGAACCCAAUAUAUCUUACAUAUGCUCAAGGUAUUACAGAGCUCCUGAACUCAUAUUUGGGGUAACUGAGUACACAACCGCCAUCGAUAUGUGGUCUGUUGGCUGUGUCAUGGCUGAACUUUUUCUUGGACAUCCUCUGUUCCCUGGAGAGACUAGUGUUGAUCAAUUGGUUGAGAUCAUUAAGAUUUUGGGAACACCAGCAAGAGAAGAGAUCAGAAACAUGAAUCCUCGUUACAAUGAUUUUAAGUUCCCUCAGAUCAAAGCUCAGCCAUGGCACAAGAUUUUCCGGAGACAGGUAUCUCCAGAAGCAAUGGAUCUUGCCUCUAGACUCCUCCAGUACUCACCAAACCUGAGAUGUUCAGCGCUUGAAGCAUGUGCACACCCCUUCUUCGAUGAUCUGAGAGACCCGAGAGCAUCCUUGCCUAAUGGAAGAGCACUUCCUCCACUGUUUGAUUUCACAGCUCAAGAACUGGCUGGUGCAUCUGUUGAAUUGCGUCAUCGCUUAAUCCCUGAACAUGCAAGGAAAUAACUUACUUUGUCUAACGAGACCGCUUCUUCUCUACACAGAUGUUGAUAUCUAAAUUCCUUUUUUUUUGGCAUUGUUCUGGUUAUGAACACCCUCAUUGACCUCUGCAACCACCUUGCACUAGCAGUUCCAAAAGUGUAUGAUUUGUUAAGUUUGUAACUUUGUAGACUCCAUUGUUGCAGACAGAAAAUGCAGAAUUUUCCGAGUU